rnacentral:rRNA from 1 species
UACAGAGGUCUCAAGCGUUGUUCGGAUUCAUUGGGCGGAAAGGGUGCGUAGGCGGCGCGGUAAGUCGGGUGUGAAAUCUCGGAGCUUAACUCCGAAACUGCAUUCGAUACUGCCGUGCUUGAGGACUGGAGAGGAGACUGGAAUUUACGGUGUAGCGGUGAAAUGCGUAGAUAUCGUAAGGAAGACCAGUGGCGAAGGCGGGUCUCUGGACAGUUCCUGACGCUGAGGCACGAAGGCCAGGGGAGCAAACGGG